GCUCCGAUAGUCUAGCCCGGUCAAGGACGCUGGCCUUUCAAGCCAGUAACCCGGGUUCAAAUCCCGGUCGGAGCA
rnacentral:tRNA from 1 species